GGAGUUUGAGACGUCUAGGCAACACAGCAAGAUCCAUUUGGUCCAAAGUUGGAGUGCAGUGGUAUGAUCACAGCUUACUGUAACCUUGAACUCCUGGACUCAAGCAAUUCUCUUGCCUCAGCCUCCCGGGUAGCUAGAGUCCAUUCAGCCACUGUAUGUCUUUUGAUUGGAGCAUUUAAUUCAUUUACACUCAAUUAAUGAUAGGUUUUCAGGUGCUGGUUCCAUGGCUCUUCCUGAGCCGAAAAUAAGGAAACUCCAUAGACCUUGUCCACUGGAACUCGUUCCCAUCUACCCUCCACUCUAUCCAGGGUGAUGGAUCUCUGCAGAAAGAACCCAUAGAAACACAAGGAAGAAGGUCAUGUGAAGAUGGAGGCAGAGAUUGGAGGGAUGCAGCCACCGGCCCAGGAAUGCCAGCAGCCACCCAGAAGCUGGAAGGAAAUGAGGGAUUCUCUCCUAGAACCUUUAGAGAGAACAUGGUCCUGUGAACAGCUUGAUUUUGGACUUGCCCAUAGCUUGUAUACUCUUACUUUGGAUACAAUUUUAUCCAAACUUGGCUAAACAGUUUCUCAGCCUAUGGAAAAUUUAAAAUGGAGAAGAUUCAACUCGAUUCUUACAGAUUCAAAGCAAGAAAAUGAUGGGAACAUAGGAGGAGACCAAGAAAGCCUAUAAAAAGCAAAAAUAUGAAGUGAACAUUGUGGUAGCUUUAAGAUGUUUAGUGUAGCUGCAGGCACCCUAUACACAUGAAAACCCCCAAGGGGAAUCCCCAUAUCACAGUGUAGUGUGAUAUUUGACAUUCGUGAUCAUCUAGAGAUGUACAGAAAAGGUGAAUCUGUGUUCUGUAUAUUCUGCCUAAGGCAAAGAAAUGUUUAGCUCUCUUUAAAAUAGUUCCAUAAUUUUUUCUAAAAAGCUUUGCUUGAAAACUGUAAGCUUCCCAUAUCUGGAGCAUUUCACUUUAAAUAUUUGGAUAAAUAUGUUAUCUUCUUACUUGGACAUUUCAUGUGUUUAGGGAUUGUCUUCUAAAUUCUUCCUAAUUCAUAUAGCUGCUAACACUUCCCGCAGAGCUAAACCAUUACAGAUAUGAAAUAAAGACCUAUUGAUUU
ensembl:lncRNA ARLNC1 androgen receptor regulated long noncoding RNA 1